rnacentral:rRNA from 1 species
AUGGCCCUUAUGCCCAGGGCGACACACGUGCUACAAUGGCAUAUACAAUGAGACGCAAUACCGCGAGGUGGAGCAAAUCUAUAAAAUAUGUCCCAGUUCGGAUUGUUCUCUGCAACUCGAGAGCAUGAAGCCGGAAUCGCUAGUAAUCGUAGAUCAGCCAUGCUACGGUGAAUACGUUCCCGGGUCUUGUACUCACCGCCCGUCACACCAUGGGAGUUGAUUUCACUCGAAGCCGGAAUACUAAACUAGUUACCGUCCACAGUGGAAUCAGCGACUGGGGUGAAGUCGUAACAAGGUAACCGUAGGAGAACCUGCGGUUGGAUCACCUCCUUUCUAG